rnacentral:tRNA from 1 species
AUAGGGUUCGAUCAACUGCGUCUUGAUGAGAUCCCAGGUCAUCUCGUCCCCGUCGAUAUCGACGAUGGGGUUGUCGACCUUGAUCUUGUC